rnacentral:rRNA from 1 species
AACGCGAAGAACCUUACCUGGACUCGAAAUCUGGCUGACCGUUUCAGAGAUGAGACUUUCCCGCAAGGGACGGCUGGAUAGGUGCUGCAUGGCUGUCGUCAGCUCGUGUCGUGAGAUGUUGGGUUAAGUCCCGCAACGAGCGCAACCCUCACCCUUUGUUGCUAACCCGCAAGGGAAGCACCCGAAGGGAACUGCCUCGGAUAACGGGGAGGAAGGUGGGGAUGACGUCAAGUCCGCAUGGCCUUUAUGCCCAGGGCUACACACGUGCUACAAUGGCCGGUACAAACCGUUGCCAACCCGCAAGGGGGAGCCAAUCGGAAAAAACCGGUCUCAGUUCGGAUUGCAGUCUGCAACUCGACUGCAUGAAGCUGGAAUCGCUAGUAAUCGCGGAUCAGAACGCCGCGGUGAAUACGUUCCCGGGCCUUGUACACACCGAGACGAC